GAUCUUUUUUUCACUUCUCUCUCAACAUAUUGCAUCCUUCCCCACUAGAAAGGAAAAUUUCAAUUCAACAAACUUUUAUUCUCUAUUAGCUACUGCUGGGUCCUUUGCCUUUUGAAGAUAAGGAUGCUUUUUUCUUAAGGAUUUCUGUCCCCAGCACCUAGCACCUAGUAUUUCACCUCUUUUUCUUCAGAAUCAUAGCUCAAACCCGAUAAUCAAAAUUCUAUGCCUGUAAUCUCUGCUACUAUAGGUGAGACUGAGGCCAGCAGAUCUCUUGAGCACCAGAUUUCUAUGUUGCAGUGGGCUAAGCUAAUUGGGUAUCCACAUCGUGUUUGACACUAAUAUGGUGAGCUUCUUGGAGUGAAAGCUCACCAAGCUGCCUAAAGAUGGGAGAAUUGAAUUUUCUUUCUUCCCUUCUCUGAUUUUUUAUUUUCUUUUCACCUUUCCUUUCUCCUUCCCCUUUCUUUUUCUCUUCCCCUCAUUUCUUCUCCUUACUAUUUCUCUCCCCCCUUCAACUUCAAACAAUUCUUCAUUUCUUUCAUUUCCUCUCUCACUUCUGCCUCUAGGAGAUCCCAGUUUCCUUCCCUCUCAAGCACCAAGACAUCAGUGUACAUGCCCUAGGAGCUAACAAAGAACCACUGGUGUUUCAGGGAUGGAGAAGAGAGUCAAUUUGAGGAGUACUCUAUGAAGGAGGCCCCCUUAAAGAUGCUUGCGACAGCCAGUGGAUAAAAAGUUGAAGAAACUGAGGCUGAAAGAGAAGAGGCUUGCUCAAGGUCCCACAGUGAAUCAGAGGUCAAAGAAAGGCCUAAAUCCCAGAGCUUCUGACACCCCGGCUAGGGGAUUUUCUAUUUUUUUCUCAAAUUUCUUGUGUUUCAUAAAACCAAAGCAAUUUCAAAGAGGAAUCACAGGAUGGCAGUCAUAUACCCUUGCUUUUCUUUCUGCCCUUUUUGUUGUGGUGACAACCACCCAGCUGCUUUUUGCCUAACAAUUCAAUAAAUAUUGAUUAAGAG
rnacentral:lncRNA from 1 species